CUAAUACAUGCAAGUCGAACGAACUCUGGUAUUGAUUGGUGCUUGCAUCAUGAUUUACAUUUGAGUGAGUGGCGAACUGGUGAGUAACACGUGGGAAACCUGCCCAGAAGCGGGGGAUAACACCUGGAAACAGAUGCUAAUACCGCAUAACAACUUGGACCGCAUGGUCCGAGUUUGAAAGAUGGCUUCGGCUAUCACUUUUGGAUGGUCCCGCGGCGUAUUAGCUAGAUGGUGAGGUAACGGCUCACCAUGGCAAUGAUACGUAGCCGACCUGAGAGGGUAAUCGGCCACAUUGGGACUGAGACACGGCCCAAACUCCUACGGGAGGCAGCAGUAGGGAAUCUUCCACAAUGGACGAAAGUCUGAUGGAGCAACGCCGCGUGAGUGAAGAAGGGUUUCGGCUCGUAAAACUCUGUUGUUAAAGAAGAACAUAUCUGAGAGUAACUGUUCAGGUAUUGACGGUAUUUAACCAGAAAGCCACGGCUAACUACGUGCCAGCAGCCGCGGUAAUACGUAGGUGGCAAGCGUUGUCCGGAUUUAUUGGGCGUAAAGCGAGCGCAGGCGGUUUUUUAAGUCUGAUGUGAAAGCCUUCGGCUCAACCGAAGAAGUGCAUCGGAAACUGGGAAACUUGAGUGCAGAAGAGGACAGUGGAACUCCAUGUGUAGCGGUGAAAUGCGUAGAUAUAUGGAAGAACACCAGUGGCGAAGGCGGCUGUCUGGUCUGUAACUGACGCUGAGGCUCGAAAGUAUGGGUAGCAAACAGGAUUAGAUACCCUGGUAGUCCAUACCGUAAACGAUGAAUGCUAAGUGUUGGAGGGUUUCCGCCCUUCAGUGCUGCAGCUAACGCAUUAAGCAUUCCGCCUGGGGAGUACGGCCGCAAGGCUGAAACUCAAAGGAAUUGACGGGGGCCCGCACAAGCGGUGGAGCAUGUGGUUUAAUUCGAAGCUACGCGAAGAACCUUACCAGGUCUUGACAUACUAUGCAAAUCUAAGAGAUUAGACGUUCCCUUCGGGGACAUGGAUACAGGUGGUGCAUGGUUGUCGUCAGCUCGUGUCGUGAGAUGUUGGGUUAAGUCCCGCAACGAGCGCAACCCUUAUUAUCAGUUGCCAGCAUUAAGUUGGGCACUCUGGUGAGACUGCCGGUGACAAACCGGAGGAAGGUGGGGAUGACGUCAAAUCAUCAUGCCCCUUAUGACCUGGGCUACACACGUGCUACAAUGGAUGGUACAACGAGUUGCGAACUCGCGAGAGUAAGCUAAUCUCUUAAAGCCAUUCUCAGUUCGGAUUGUAGGCUGCAACUCGCCUACAUGAAGUCGGAAUCGCUAGUAAUCGCGGAUCAGCAUGCCGCGGUGAAUACGUUCCCGGGCCUUGUACACACCGCCCGUCACACCAUGAGAGUUUGUAACACCCAAAGUCGGUGGGGUAACCUUUUAGGAACCAGCCGCCUAAGGUGGGACAGAUGAUUAGGG
rnacentral:rRNA from 2 species